CAAAAGGCUCAGAGUAUGGACAGUGAAGACCUAACCUGUUGCUAGGCAACGCCCUUUUGUUUACAGCUCGCGCUUGUCGCGGUUAAAUUUUGUGCAAAGUUAAUCAGUUUAACGGUCAUUUCUAGCGAGUUAAGUUUCCUUUGUGUGCGUCAAUAAACGGCAAACCACACAUACACACAUGCACACCCACCUGGUUUAAACCUAAGAGGAGAACAGAGAUUGCCUGUGCCUGUGUAUUUGCAUUCCAUUUAUAAUAAACCCCCAAAAGAA